UGAGUCGGCUGGGUGACCGCAGUUCGUCUCGCCUUCAGAGAUGAGGCAAAUUGAGGAAGGUCGGGACUCCGCAGGGCAGGGCGCUGGCAGAUAACCAGGCGUCGCGAGACGACGGAAAGUGCAGCAGAGAAUAGACCGCCGAUGGACUAGUUCCGCUAGUCACAGGCAAGGCUGAAACGGUGCGGUAAGAGCGCACCAGCGUGCA
rnacentral:RNase_P_RNA from 1 species